rnacentral:rRNA from 1 species
GAUGAACGCUGGCGGCGUGCCUAAUACAUGCAAGUCGAGCGAACAGACGAGGAGCUUGCUCCUCUGACGAUAGCGGCGGCCGGGUGAGUACCACGUGGAUAACCUACCUAUAAGACUGGGAUAACUUCGGGAAACCGGAGCUAAUACAGGAUAAUAUAUUGAACCGCAUGGUUCAAUAGUGCAAGUCGGUGUUGCUGUCACUUAUACAUGGAUCCGCGCCGCAUUAGCUAGUUGGUAAGGUAACGGCUUACCAAGGCAACGAUGUGUAGCCGACCUGAGAGGGUCAUCGGCCACACUGGAAGUGAGGCACGGUCCAGACUCCUACGGGAGGCAGCAGUAGGGAAUCUUCCGCAAUGGGCGAAAGCCUAACGGAGCAACGCCGCGUGAGUGAUGAAGGUCUGCGGAUCGUAAAACGCUGUUAUUAGGGAAGAACAAAUGUGUAAGUAACUAUGCACAUCUUGACGGUACCUAAUCAGAAAGCCACGGCUAACUACGUG